rnacentral:rRNA from 1 species
UACGUAGGGGGCAAGCGUUGUUCGGAAUUACUGGGCGUAAAGGGCGCGUAGGCGGCAUGGCAAGUCGGGAGUGAAAGCCCGGGGCUCAACCCCGGAGGGUCUCUCGAAACUGCCAAGCUAGAGUGCGGAAGAGGCAACUGGAAUUCCCAGUGUAGCGGUGAAAUGCGUAGAUAUUAGGAAGAACACCAGUGGCGAAGGCGGCUCACUGGCCCGGUACUGACGCUGAGGCGCGAAAGCGUGGGGAGCAAACAGG